ensembl:lncRNA
GGAGAGAAGCGGCCCUGCGAGAACGCGGUCAGCGCAGGAGGUGCUCCGGAAGCAACAGUCCCUGCGGCUAACGGAGGAGCGAACCCUCCCCCGCAGCCCACGGGCACCGCGCCGAGGACGUCGCCACGUGCGGUCGAGGAGGAGCCCGCGGUGCAGCAGUAGAUAGGGCCGGGAGGGAGUGCACUCUGUGUGCAGAAAGGAGAGGGAAGAAGGAAUUGAAAAUGACAACUCUGAAACUCAGUGCUCUGGAUGGAGUAAACAUGGAUACGGGGGAGAAAAACAUCCCACACACCAGGGAAACUCAAAGAGGUCUUCUAAAUAAGGAAAUGGAGAAGAGCCAGUCCAGCUGAUCAGUAGCCUAAAUAUUUUUAAAAUAAAAACACUGCAUGAGCAAGAGCCUCAGCCUUAAUUAAAUGUGUUUUAACUCCAGUAGCACAAUGGGCACUUAACAGCGCCUUGAAGGAGCAGCUAACGGUUUCUCAGAGCAGGGAGUCCUUGAACUGCAUGAAGGCAUAGUAUCCAGUUUGUACUUCCUUCUUUAAAC